rnacentral:misc_RNA from 1 species
CAUGGAUACACAGCCAAGAGUCCUGCAAUCAUUAAUUUGCUGGAGAUUAUGGGAGAAUUCACACCUGAGCAGCAGCGUGCCUUUUGCCAGUUCGUUACAGGUGCACCAAGGUUACCACCUGGUGGUCUAGCAGUACUCAAUCCAAAGUUAACAAUUGUGAGGAAGCAUUCUUCAUCUGCAGGGAAUGUGGUAGCAAAUGGAGCUGGGCCUUCAGAAUCAGCAGAUGAUGAC